UUUCUAUCCGCUUCUCUCCUUUUCCCAUUUCCGUAUCUGCCAAUCUUCUUCUGAAAUUCUCUAUCUUGUUGGCUUUUUUCGGUGGAGAAAGUGACGUCGGAUCUGCGCUUUUACAGGUAAUUUGAGGGUGCGCAACGCGAGGAAAAGGAAAAUUCAUCCACCGAACCAUUCGAAAGAGCUUCAAACGGAAGCAGACGUAAAGGGCAUUGCAACUGAAGGAUGCUGAGGUGGGUUCUAGCAGGACCGCUCGGCAACCCAGGUUAGCUUAGCCGGGGCCGGUCUUGGAUACAAAACGUGGGGCCAUGCUCGGAAAAGGGGGCGAGAUGGGUCGACAAGCUGCUAAUCAGGUCUAUAUACUCCGGCCGAAUACUGUUGGGCUAACACUGGUUUGGUCUCAGGGUUGAGAGAGUGAACAGAGAGGAGGCGCAUUGCCACGUCUUAAUUACCACACCAUCAGGCGUGUAAUCAAUCUUGUAGGCAACCUGUAUUGUCGAAACUGACAGAUUGUGGUCAUCGAAGGCCACAGUAUGUGAUGCCGCAUGGUCCCAAAAAGCAAUCACCCUCAAUGCCGACGGAGCUCAUACCGUUCAAACAUUGAAGGGCCGACGGACUAGGGCGACCUUGACUGCCAUGCUUCUCCACCGAUGAUCCAUCAAGUGAUGGCGAUAGGAAGGGC
rnacentral:lncRNA from 1 species